rnacentral:miRNA from 15 species
GAAAUCAAGCAUGGGUGAGACCU